UAGAUCCUACGGGAGGCAGCAGUAGGGAAUCUUCGGCAAUGGACGAAAGUCUGACCGAGCAACGCCGCGUGAGUGAAGAAGGUUUUCGGAUCGUAAAACUCUGUUGGUAGAGAAGAACGUUGGUGAGAGUGGAAAGCUCAUCAAGUGACGGUAACUACCCAGAAAGGGACGGCUAACUACGUGCAAGCAGCCGCGGUAAUACGUAGGUCCAGAGCGUUGUACGGAUUUAUUGGGCGUAAAGCGAGCGCAGGUGGUUUAUUAAGUCUGGUGUAAAAGGCAGGGGCUCAACGAUUGUAUGCAUUGGA
rnacentral:rRNA from 1 species